rnacentral:rRNA from 1 species
UAAUAUGCAGAAACUGCGAACGGCUCAUUAAAACAGUUAUAAUCUACUUGACAUUUUUUUAAUAUAAGGAUAACUACGGAAAAGCUGUAGCUAAUACUUGCUUUAAUAUUCUUGAUUAAGUUCUUGAGUAUGUAUUUGUUAAGUCUUAUAAGAAAAAAGUUAUUAACUUAAGGAAUUAUAACAAAGAAGUAACACGUAAUAAACUUAGUUUAUUUUAGUGUGUAUCAAUCGAGUUUCUGACCUAUCAGCUUUUGAUGUUAGGGUAUUGGCCUAACAUGGCAAUGACGGGUAACGGGGAAUUAGAGUUCGAUUCCGGAGAGGGAGCCUGAGAAAUAGCUACUACAUCUAAGGAUGGCAGCAGGCGCGUAAAUUACCCAAUUCUAAUGAAGAGAGGUAGUGACAAGAAAUAACAAUACAAGACCAAAUCUGGUUUUGUAAUUGGAAUGAUGGGAAUUUAAAACCUUCCCAAAAUACAAUUGGAGGGCAAGUCUGGUGCCAGCAGCCGCGGUAAUUCCAGCUCCAAUAGCGUAUAUUAAAAUUGUUGCAGUUAAAACGCUCGUAGUUGAAUUUCGAAGAAUCAAUAUUUUAAGUCAUACUUUUUAGUUAAUAAUCCACAAUAACUAAUACUUCGAGUAUUGGUUAUGUGCGCAUUAUAUAUACUAUUAUGUGUCUCUUUUAAUAAAAUGUUUCUUUCUAAGAUUUUCUUUUUGCUUUUUUUAAGCAUUAGAAGAUUUUUUUACUUUGAGUAAAUUAGAGUGUUCAAAGCAAACAGAUAUAGCAUUUACUGCGUUUGAAUACUACAGCAUGGAAUAAUAAAAUUGAACAAGUCAAAAUUAUGUUUUUGUUUUUUUUUUUUUAUUUUUGACUUAGUUACGAUUAACAGGAGUAGUUUGGGGACAUUUGUAUUCAGAUGUCAGAGGUGAAAUUCUAAGAUUUUCUGGAGACAAACAACUGCGAAGGCAUUUGUCUAAAAUACUUCCAUUAAUCAAGAACGAAAGUUAAGGGAGUGAAGACGAUCAGAUACCGUCGUAAUCUUAACCAUAAACUAUACCGACUAGGUUUUGGAUGUAAGUAAAAAAAAUAAGAGUAGUCUCUUCGGGGAUAAUUCUUAGAUAGCUUCCUUCAGUGCCUUAUGAGAAAUCAAAGUCUUUGGGUUCUGGGGCGAGUAUUCGCGCAAGCGAGAAAGUUAAAAGAAUUGACGGAAGGGCACCACCAGGCGUGGAGCUUGCGGCUUAAUUUGACUCAACACGGGAAAACUCACUAGUUUAAGACAAGAGUAGGAUUGACAGAUUGAUAGCUCUUUCUUGAUUUCUUGGAUGGUGAUGCAUGGCCGUUUUUAGUUCGUGAAUAUGAUUUGUCUGGUUAAUUCCGAUAACGAACGAGAUCUUAACCUGCUAAUUAGCGGCAGGUACAACAUAUUUUUGGGAAAAAUUAAAUACAGUUAGUUUGCAAUAUUUUGAAGAAAUAUAUUAGGACAUGUAAAAGUGUUCUUUUCCCUUGUUUCUACUUAAUUUGCUUACUAAUACUGAUUUUUUUUUUUCCCAGAAAUGUAUUUGCUUUAUUGUAAAGCUUCUUAGAGGAACGAUGUGUGUCUAACACAAGGAAGUUUAAGGCAACAACAGGUCUGUGAUGUCCUUAGAUGAACUAGGCUGCACGCGUGCUACAAUGAUAUGUAUAACAAGUUAUUAGAAAUAUACACAUUAUUACUAUGCUCAUUCGUGAGUUUGUAUUCAUUGUGUUAUUUUUCCUCCACUGAAAAGUGUAGGUAAUCUUUAUCAAUACAUAUCGUGAUGGGGAUAGAUUAUUGCAAUUAUUAAUCUUGAACGAGGAAUGCCUAGUAAGCACGAUUCAUUAGAUUGUGCUGACUACGUCCCUGCCCUUUGUACACACCGCCCGUCGCUCCUACCGAUCGAAAGAUAUGAUGAAUUGUUUGGACAAGAAAAAUGAAGAUACACAUCUUCGCUUUUCUGAAAA